AAACGGUGGUCCAGCAACAGGUGCGAACCGAACCACCCUUUCCUGUCUUCUUCUUUUUCUCGCUGCCGGCUACAGACGCGGCGGCCGGCCCCUAGCUUCCCUCGCCUUGCCGCCGCCGGCCCCCAGCUUCCCUCGCCUUGCCGCCGCUGGCCCCCAGCUUCCCUCGCGUGCCCCUGCCACCGGCUCCCUCGCGCAGCCGCCGCCUGAGUUUUGCUCGCCCUCCCCCGCUCCUCUGAUCCGUCGCGCGCCCCUGCCCCCGGCUCCCUCGCGCGGCCCCGCCCCCCACUCCCUCGCGCGUCCCUGCGACCGGAUCCCUCGCGUGGCCGCCGACCCCAGCUUCGCUCGCGCACCACCGCCCCCCAGCUCCCUCGCGCGGCCGCCGGCUGCCUCGCGACGGACCGGUCCUCCCCCGCGCCUGCAGGGAUGAGCCAUGGUUCACCGCUGGCGAGGUGCCGUUGAAGAUCCCAGGGUUCCAAAAGGAUUCGAGGGAGCGCGGGCGGUGUUGUGCCUCAGUUCAUACCUUGUUGGCGAUGAUGAUUCGUGAUAGCGCCGUGCUGUUGGAUUGAUGCCGCUCGGGAAGAUUGAUCAGCCAGAUGAAUAAUAGCUUCUGACGACGAUCUGGUCAGCUAAUACAAAAGCGAGUUUUCAUCCGGUAAUUCCAUACGCUGCUGCCGGGCAGCUGCAACCAACACCUGACAGAGGCUUAUGAAUGCGCUUUUUCCCAGCUUCCUAAACCGGUAUACCCUCUAGCCGCUAACAAAAACUGUGAGGCCCAAGACCAUGUUCAAGUGGUUAGCCCGCAAGUAAAGAAGAGAACAGGAGCAGUUUGCCUAAACCGCUGUCUGUUGCAUUUUAUUUCUGGAAGAUGCACAGGAAACCGCAUAGGUAGCCAAUGCAUUGACUGCGAACGCACCAAGCAUGGUUUCAACUUCAAGUAACUGUUCCAACAGUGUCUUCUGUUUACCAUGAGUACGCAAUGAAAAGCCAAAAUACCAGUAUUUAUCUUCAGCAGCUACGAUAUCUGUGUUCUAAAUUGGGGUCGUCAUCAAAGAAGUAGAGCUCCAGAUUAGCAAGCUAUUUGACUACCGGAGGUAGAGUAGAACAGAUGGUUCAGCAAUGGAGCAACCCAGAGAAGUAGUGGGGAAGAAAAGUUGGACGGCAACCCUCCAGUACAUACAUGUACAUAGAAGCGGGUUGCUGAACAUCGUUACUUCUCGCUAGCUGACCAUACAUUCUAUUUAGUAAAAGAAGAUUUCUCUUCCCAGGAUCUUCCCUUGAAGGCGAUGCCGCCAAGGAAGCGGGGGAAAAGGGGAUUACCACCGCUACCAAGCAGCAGCAACCGCAACCGCCCGACCCGCCUGGACCUGACGCUCCCGUGCAAGAGAAGCUGCGGAGGCUUGCUGACCAAGAGAAUAGACAGAUAAGCUACUUGAUACCCUACUAAUAGAUCAGCGACCAGGGACCCUGUAGUUAAGUUUCUGCUCGUCUAAUGGAUUUUCUUGCAUUCUGUCAAAGUUAAGGUCAUUUGACUUACUGCCGCGUCAAACAAUACCUGGAAUGCUGGAGCUAUGGCGAGAAACAAUGGCGUGAAGGUUCCUGUACGAUGAUGGCAACGAGCUGAUGCGACGGCGGGCGCGUUCAGCGGGCGAAACUCGGAGGCGGCGACCGUAGGCGGUGACCGUAAGCGGUGCGUGACUUCAGGAGCAGCAGGCAUGGGCGCCGGGCGGCAGGCGGCGGACGAAACUCGGAGGCGGCGGAUGAAACUCGGAGGCGGCGAUCCUGUCAAAGUUAAGGUGAUUUGACUUACUGCCGCAUCAAACAAUACCUGGAAUGCUGGAGCUAUGGCGAGAAACAAUGGCGUGAAGGUUCCUGUACGAUGAUGGCAACGAGCUGAUGCGACGGCGGGCGCGUUCAGCAGGCGAAACUCGGAGGCGGCGACUGUAGGCGGUGACCGUAAGCGGUGCGUGGCUUCAGGAGCAGCAGGCGUGGGCGUUGGGCGGCAGGUGGCGGACGAAACUCGGAGGCGGCGAUCCUGGCGGCGAUCCUGGCUACAAUCGGAGGUGUUGAUCGGACUGUGCAAUGAGGCAGCGCGUAAAUUCAGGAGGCUGCUCGUGACUUCACGAGGCUUGCCAUACCUUAAAGCACACGCGGGAAAUAGAAUCUUGUUUGGUUACAUGGGAAAGAAAACGUUUUUAUGGCUGUGCGGUGAAGGAAUGUAAUCUCUUUUUUUUUGAACAUGUGAUGGAAUGUAAUCUCUGUAAUCUGGUGCGGUGUGAUGAUUCUUGUUUCCUGA